UGGGGAAUAUUGCACAAUGGGCGCAAGCCUGAUGCAGCCAUGCCGCGUGUGUGAAGAAGGCCUUCGGGUUGUAAAGCACUUUCAGCGAGGAGGAAGGUGGUGAGCUUAAUACGCUCAUCAAUUGACGUUACUCGCAGAAGAAGCACCGGCUAACUCCGUGCCAGCAGCCGCGGUAAUACGGAGGGUGCAAGCGUUAAUCGGAAUUACUGGGCGUAAAGCGCACGCAGGCGGUUUGUUAAGUCAGAUGUGAAAUCCCCGGGCUCAACCUGGGAACUGCAUUUGAAACUGGCAAGCUAGAGUCUCGUAGAGGGGGGUAGAAUUCCAGGUGUAGCGGUGAAAUGCGUAGAGAUCUGGAGGAAUACCGGUGGCGAAGGCGGCCCCCUGGACGAAGACUGACGCUCAGGUGCGAAAGCGUGGGGAGCAAAACAGGAUUAGAUACCCUGGUAGUCCACGCUGUAAACGAUGUCGAUUUUGGAGGUUGUGCCCUUGAGGCGUGGCUUCCGGAGCUAACGCGUUAAAUCGACCGCCUGGGGAGUACGGCCGCAAGGUUAAAACUCAAAGGAAUUGACGGGGUCAUAGCUG
rnacentral:rRNA from 1 species